AAGUACCCAUACUGGAGAUGGCAUGACUCACAGGAAACCACACAGAAUUGUGCUGACCACCCUACCCACCCCGUGACGUACAAAAUUUUCUUCAGAUAUAUUCAGAUUGUCUCAACAGAAUUGGCUUUCCCGUCUGUUAAUUAAUGUCCUAAAGUGUUUUAAAUUGAGAAGUCCAAAAUGUGAAAUGUUUGGCUGGCUAUGAAAGACACAUCUCUCCCAAACUGGUGAGACAGAUGUUUUCACAGGUUGCCAUGUUUUGCCUUUUCUGCUCCUCUGUCAGCAAUGUUGUGAUCUCUGAUCCCAUCCAUAUGGAUGGUGGAGAAUCUUGUUCCCAGUGCCUGUGGCAGAUUGGAUGGAUGCCAUCAAAAUGAGAAUAAAAACAAGAAUUACAGAUCCUCACACCAAACUGUAAAUUAAGAAAGAAGCAAUGAACUGUUCAUGGACAAGUCAAGUCUGGGCAAUUUGUGAGAGAUGACAACAGGGCUGAGGGAUUCUCUGUGCCAAUGCAUGUCUUCCACGUAAAAUACAGAGGCUGACAUCUACUGGUUCCUGGGAUGUGCCUUCUUGCUUCGUGUAAGGACAAGGACAGACAGACGGAUGGAUGGACAGACAGAUGGAUAGACAGAAGUGGACAAUUAGAAUGAAUCACCUAAGCAUUUUCUGGUGAUAAUGUAUGUAUAACAUGUCUACAUUAAUAAUAAUUGACUAACGUAGGACGGUACAAUGUCCAAGUGUUUUUUAUUAACAGAGAAUUCUGGCUAGAGGAAUAAAAAGUAUUCUAUUAUUGAAAGAAAUUAACCUGACAAAGUAUUUGAUCCAAAAGAGAGGUCUAGAGGGAUCUGUAACGUUCAUCUUAAAUUUUAGAGUAAUUCUUCACUGAGAGAAUGAAGAGAACCAUUUUUUUAUUACUCUUUCAUUAGCUGUAUCUAUCUCAUCACAGUGGACAGCAAUUCCAUUUUCAGUUCUGUGUAAUAUUAUCAACGACCCCUGAAGCACAUUUGUAUGGAUGAAUUCUUGUAUGCUGAUGAAUUCUUGUUCUUAAAAAAGGCAGAACUCCCAUCAAUUUCCAUAAAUUAUGUUACUUAUAGAAGCAGAAGUAAAUUUGUAAACUCAAAACAAUCUGUUUCUCUUUUUCAGUAUCUCUUUCCAGAUUCCUCAUUUUUCAUGUGCUUUUUGUGAGUUUGCGUACAAUGUGUGUGGUUGUGCCAGAGGUAUAAUUCUUGACUAGCACAGAUAGAGUAGCUGAAUACAGAGUAUUCAGUAGAGAGUAGCUCUACUGAAUACUCUGUAGAGUAGCUGAGUACACAGAACUUUAUUAGUAUUGCUAAUAUUGUUACCCUUUGUUUAGUUCUGGUUGAGAUAUACUUUACUGUUGUUAUAAAGAUUAGAUUUAUUUAUAUUCUCUUUGACUGACAAAGGAGCUUGAUAAGGGUACUAACAUAAAAAUUCAAUGCUGCCAACCUUCAUGGUGAUUUCGCCUGUUAAAAGGGCUAUAUGUAUGCAAACAUAGUGUCAUUUUCAAGGAGAAAAGACAGUACUUGAUGAAUCAUUGUAGUUCUGUGUAAAUUCCAAACCUUGGAUAGAAAAUGGGGUAAUAUGGACCAGAUUGCUGGAGAAUAAACCCUUUCUCCUGCCCCUGGGUAUGGGAUAUGUAUGUGAUUUCAUCGGCCUUGGCUCUAGAACAACUAAACAUCAAAUUCAGAAAUUAAAGUCUUCUGUAUAUUCCUAGAAA